ACGUGCCCGAGGGAGGGAGUAAUGCUUUCUGGCCGAUUUACGUACGGCAGCCAUUUCGCGAGCGUUGGUUUACCGGCGGUCUGACCGCCGAUUCUGGAGUGUAGGGUGACUCCAACCGCUCGGUGUUUUGCACUUGCAUUAACCGCAUCCGCACUUUGGCUAUCGCCACUCGGCACACGGACGGUCAUUGACCAGAGGACUCUGAAAAUAAUGUAGAACUGCAGCAACACAGGGUCCUGUGUGCCUACCCCUGUCAUCGGCAGCCCCCACACUAACAUAGAGUUGAGGAAGAGUUUCCCAAAGGAAUCUGAAGAAAGAAGAGUAAACCUGGGCCCACAGCAAAGGAUGGGGAAAGCUAUGUAAACAAGGAGCUACAAUUCCUUCAAUCCCCAGCCAUCUUACACUUGACAGGAAGAUAAUAAGCAACUACAUUUUCUCCAUGCAAAAACCCUUCCAGGUUGUGAGUGCCAUAAAUAUAACGGAUUGUACUGUACUCAUCACUAGUAUGACGGCAUCUCCCUCUCUCCAUAGGAUCUCAAUGAGGUGGUCUCAGUACAAUCACAAGAGUCCUUAUAAGAAGGAGGGGAGUCAGGAGGGUCAGAGACAGAGAAGAUGUACAGAUGGAAUCAGAAGUGGAAGUGAUGCUAUUGCUGGAAGAGGACCGUGAGCCAAGGAAUGCAGAUAACUUCCAGAAGUUUGAAAAGGCAAAGAACAAAUUCUCUCCUUGAGCUCCAGAAGAAAUAUAGGACUAACUGCCUGUGUUUAGCCCUGUAAGACCAGUUUUUGGACUUCUGACCUCUAGAAUUAUAAGAUAAUAAAUUUGUGUUGUUUCAAGCCACUAAAUUUGAGUAAUUUAUUACAGCAGCAGUGGGAAACUCAAGUUUCCUUUAGUUUUCCACUUCUGGAAGUAAGAAAUGACUUGCUCCAGGAAUAUAAAAUAGACAGGGGAAAGGAGCCUUAGAUCACUGACCUAAAUUUUAUUUGAUUAUUUGCUCUCUUUUGAAAGACUAGGACCUGUGACAGUAAUUUCAGUAGAUCACAUUAGAUGGUGCUCUUUCUUAGUUAAGUCAUACAAAUUAGUAGCUAAGAUUUUUUUUUUCACAAAGCAUAAUUUUUAGAAUUUUUAUAGCUAUAACCUACAAAUGAACCACUUCCUUUGCCUAAUGUAGAUAAUAUUUAUUAACAUUGUACAACUUUAAGUCUUGCAGUCUCUGUGACUACUUUGACCUAUAAUAGAAGCUCCUUGGUUAACCAAAAAAUGUCAAGGUUGAUGAAAAAAAUCAGGGAAUAACUAAGAAUUGUAUAUAUAAUUCAUGUUUAUUUUUUAGAUUUAUUUAAAAUUUUUUUUUAAGUUAAUUUUAUUUAUUUUGAGAGAGAGAGAGAGAGCAAGCAGGGGAGGGACAGAGAAAGAGGGAGAUAGAAUCCCAAACAGCCUCUCCACCAUCAGCACAAAGUCCGAUGCAGGGUUUGAAUUCACAAACCAUGAGAUCAUGACCUGAGCUGAAAUCAAGAGUCAGAUGCUUAACUGACUAAGCCACCCAGGCACCCCUAUUUUUUAGUCAUAAAACAUAAAUGUACAUGCGCUCAUGAAUCUUGUGAUGGCUAAGGCCUUUUCUGUAAGAGUCCCUUGAUUGGUAUUUUAUCUCAUUGUUCUUAGAUAAAGCUAUCCUUAAUGUUUUGCCUACAACUUCCAGUUUUGGUUUCUUUAAAGUAGUAAGAAUUUAAAGACAUGUGGAGAAAAUUUGAACACAAGAAUUUUUAAAAUAAUUUUCCCACAUAUUGUGUUUGAAUUUCUAUAAUUUUCUCCCAUUUUUUACAAGAUUUUCCUCCUAACCUAUUUGACACUAUUU